UCUCCUGUGCGUGGAAAGAACUUCGGUCAAGGAUGGACUCGCGGCCUAUCAGGUAGUUGGUGAGGUAACGGCUCACCAAGCCUACGACGGGUAGCCGGCCUGAGAGGGUGACCGGCCACACUGGGACUGAGACACGGCCCAGACUCCUACGGGAGGCAGCAGUGGGGAAUAUUGCACAAUGGGCGCAAGCCUGAUGCAGCAACGCCGCGUGAGGGACGACGGCCUUCGGGUUGUAAACCUCUUUUAGUAGGGAAGAAGCGAAAGUGACGGUACCUGCAGAAAAAGCACCGGCUAACUACGUGCCAGCAGCCGCGGUAAUACGUAGGGUGCGAGCGUUGUCCGGAAUUAUUGGGCGUAAAGAGCUCGUAGGCGGUCUGUCGCGUCUGCUGUGAAAACCCGAGGCUCAACCUCGGGCCUGCAGUGGGUACGGGCAGACUAGAGUGCGGUAGGGGAGAAUGGAAUUCCUGGUGUAGCGGUGGAAUGCGCAGAUAUCAGGAGGAACACCGAUGGCGAAGGCAGUUCUCUGGGCCGUAACUGACGCUGAGGAGCGAAAGCGUGGGGAGCGAACAGGAUUAGAUACCCUGGUAGUCCACGCCGUAAA
rnacentral:rRNA from 1 species